rnacentral:lncRNA from 1 species
CUUCAUACAAUUUACAAGUAGUCUUUGGUUAAGGAUUUUGAUAGUAAUAACAUUAUAUAUAUUCAUAAAGAGGAGUUCUCUCAAGAAACACCAAUUUCCCAGUAGUGUCUAUUUUUACAUUCUCCUUUUAAAAGUAUCUAAUUUUUUAACUUGAGAAAUAGCAUAAUGCUUUUUGUCUCUGUGUGUGUAAACCUUACACUGGGUUGGAUUGAAUGAAUACUUAC